CCCCCCCCAGGACUGCAGGGGGCCCCACAUCGCUCGCGUUUUUGGGAGCUCGGCGGUGGAUUUUCGGAGGAAGCCGGUCGCCAGGCGGUUCGGAGGAUCUGGGAGCUGGAGGGCAUCACGAUUCACAUGUUCUACGACGUGAUUCACCCAGGGUGCUAAAGGGUACAAUAGCCAAAUAGGGGAAUAAACAGGGUACCACAGGGAUUUCUGUGCUUGCUGGCUAUCAAACCAGGGACAAGUUGCCUUCUCUUUCCUGCAAAACGUCUGUCUCUUGCCUCCCACAUCCAGAAGCCGUUCUGGUUCCUGCUCGGUUGUGUACUGGCUGGGAACAGCAGCUCCUGGCACAAUGUCCUGUUGCAUCUCCUCUGACCUGCUCAGCUGCAUAGGAUGGAGUGAGGCUGAGUGCUACUGAUGCCCCCAAAAGGAAAAGAGGGUUUCGUCUUCUAAAAAAAGACACCGCAAGGACUUUGGUACUGAGUUAUACAAGCUGAUGAGGAAAAAAGAAAGUCCUGCUGCAGCAGUAGGUCGGCAUCACAGAUGGGGCACCUGGGAAACCAUAAACCAGGACCUUGUUGUGUUCAGAGCUGUGCGGAGGAGAAAGAAAGAUUGCCCACUCGUGCCGAGCAACCCCAGUUCUUGAUGUUUGGGUCUUCUUGUGAUCGGAUCCUUCCUACAGAGUAAGGCUGCUGGGUGUUGGCAUUGCAAGGAGUCCAAUUUAAAGACCUCUUUCCCAGUGAGAAGAUGUUGAGUCAAAAACUUCUCUGCCCACCUAAGCCCAGGACUCUUGGGAGAGGACGUUCCUGCAGCUCUGACUAAGCCUCCCAGCGCGACCUGCUUACCGGGGAUGCUCCCAGCCUGCGGCACAAGCGGGAAGUCAGAUGAGGCUGCGGGGUUUCACUCCUAUGAGAACUCGCAACAAGUAGAAGCUGAGAUCCUACAGCCACAAGCCUCUGGAAGCUGGGUCUCUGAGAAACCGUUGCUUAAAUGUGGCAGAGGACAAAAAUCACCAAAGGGAACUUAGGGAAAACACCUUCAGGACUGGAGUGUGGAAGACGCUGUCUCCUGGGAUGUAUGUGAGAGCGGGGUCACAGCAGAAGUGCAGCUCUCACCAUUCCCUCCAGAUCAUUCUGCUGAAGAUCAGCACCAAUACCUGCGAUAUCAGACGGGGCCAGGGAGUAGAACAGGAAAGAUCUCAGACAUGGAGCUUGUUUCAUCCUGGCUCCCACAAUACGUGUGCGCGUUUCACCAUCGGGUCCCGGGUUGGCAUCUGGCAAGAAGGAAACAUGGUCUGUUCUGAGGUGUUCCAUGUUCUGAGAUUUUUAAUAGCUGGUUGGAGUUUUUAAGCCAAGCGUCUGUUUUCUACAGCAUUCCCAUUAAGGAACCUGAAAGUAAUUGUUAUUUGGCUGGUUGCUGCUGCCAAUAAAUCAGGCUCAAAACAAAUAAUAUUUCCAAGGAAGGCUUGGAUCAUUUAUUAGCUGCCAAAAGUCCCCAGCAAUGUCUCUGCUGAGCUGGAGCUUGCUCAGCUUAAUUGGAUAGCAUUUUCUUUAAAAUGGGAAGCAGGAGGAAAGGGUCGACUGUUCUAUACAUUUUUUCAGGCAAGAUGUGUGUCUCUCCUGCUGCCUGUCCCUCUCAGGCUUUUGAAUACAUUCCCCACAGUAUGGAGGGGAGCUCAAGGCCUCUUCUUCACCCGCUCUCAGCCAUGCUGUUAUACGCAUGGGGAUUUUUUUCCCUCUGAGGGAGUUGCUGAUCGUGCCCAGAUAUGUGUCCAAGCAUAACUCAGUUCCCUGGACACACAGUCCUCACAGUGAGGAACUGCAUUGCCAGUCCCAAAGGCUGCACGUGCCGCAGACUCCCAUAUAAACCAAAUUAGGCAGUAAGAAAUCUCAGUAUUUUGUGCUAGAUCUUUGCCAACCUGUGACGGCAUGUUUAUGCACUGUGUAAUGAAGCAUCUCUUUCAGCUUGUUUUGAAUCUGCCUCCUGGUUACCUUAAAUGGAAGCCAAAGGUGAACAAAAAGGAUCAGGCUCAAUGGGGAGGAUGGCAAAGGGAUAUAUAUCGGAUAUAACUAUUAAAGGAUAUUAUUUCCUUCUUCAGUCAACAAACAGCUAUAAAGCACACCAGCAAAAUGUCUUACCUUCCUCUUGUGGCUGGUUGACAAAGUGAGUAACAGCUUAUUUCUGAUAGCAGCUAUUUUAUUAGCUGAAGUGUCGGAGGUCUACGGCAAGGAUCCAAAGGUCUGGUCCUGCUGAUCUUACUUUCAGUGUGAGAUUUCUUCAGGGUAGAUUUUUUUUUUUAGUAACUUUGUCUGUUUUUUGCUCAGGAAGUAUGCAGUGUCGUAUGCUCCUCUCCGUCCCCAGUUGAGCUCCCUCUCGAAGUUAAAAGAAUGUGAAGGUUGUGGAAUGAAUCACUAAAAAUCUAACAGAUUUUGGAACUGAUUCAUCUCCUUGUUUGCACUGAAAUUGUCAUGAAACAAAAGACCAUAUACUGUGUUUUCUUCACUGAAUCCUGCCUUGCUCAGUGCACAGGGUAGAUGUACUGUGGGAUGGUUGAGCGCUGUCUGGAUAAAGGAUAGUUCCUGUGUUUCUGCCUGCUAUUUUGCACAGUUUCAAAGGUAUACAGUAACUGGGAAGGAGACUUGACAAUUUUGUGGUUAAGGCAUUUAAACACUGCCCUGAAGAGUGGAAUUAUGUCCCUACCUUUGCCAGAUAGUCCCUGCUGUCACUUUUUUGCAGUCACUCACUGCACUCCCCAUUUUUGAGUGUUCAAAUUGACCCUUCUGAUUUGAAGAAUUGUUCAUCUCUACUAGGGAGUAGUGAAGUCAGAGGAGGACUUCAAAUAAGCAUUAUAGCAAAGGCCACCGGGAGUUAAUGGCUCCUCAGUCAGUGCAAGAUUAGUCCCUUAUGGUGCAUGCCGCGUGGGUCUGGCAAACAAAUGCCAAGGAUAAAACGGAGAAGGGCCAGGUACCUGUUCGGGGAUUACCACCUCUUUUGGAUGUAGCACCUGUGAGGGUACAUAACAUGAUCUUUUAGUUAAUGCAUGGCGGGGGCCAUGGCAGGCUCAGUGCCACCUGACUUCUGAGAGACGCCCAUAAUGUUAACACUCCUUUGAUAUAUCAUCUUGUAUACAAAUCACCAAUCUGUGCAAACCUAAUUUUAGCCAAUAAAAAGGAAAGCUGAAGAGU